rnacentral:tRNA from 1 species
GGUUGUGGCUCAGCGGUAGAGCGCUCACCUAGCACAUGUGAGGCCCUGGGUUCAAUCCUCAGCACCA